CGCGAAAGUCCCCUUCGGGGGGCAAGUAGAGUGGCGCACGGGUGAGUAACACGUAGGUAAUCUACCUUCGGGUGGGGAAUAACAACCGGAAACGGUUGCUAAUACCGCAUAAUGCAGCGGCACCUAAUGGUGACAGUUGUUAAAGCGGGGGAUCGAAAGAUCUCGCGCCUGAAGAGGAGCCUGCGGCGGAUUAGCUAGUUGGUAGGGUAACGGCCUACCAAGGCGACGAUCCGUAGCCGGCCUGAGAGGGCGGUCGGCCACACUGACACUGACAUACGGGUCAGACUCCUACGGGAGGCAGCAGUCGGGAAUUUUGGGCAAUGGGCGAAAGCCUGACCCAGCAACGCCGCGUGAAGGAUGAAAUCCCUCGGGAUGUAAACUUCGCAAGAACGGGAAGAAUAAGCCUGUGCUAAUACCACAGGCGAUGACGGUACCGUUUGUAAGCUCCGGCUAACUCCGUGCCAGCAGCCGCGGUAAUACGGGGGGAGCAAGCGUUGUUCGGAUUUACUGGGCGUAAAGGGCGCGUAGGCGGCCACCGCAAGUCAGUUGUGAAAUCUCCGAGCUUAACUCGGAAAGGUCAACUGAUACUGCGGGGCUAGAGUGCGGAAGGGGCAACUGGAAUUCUUGGUGUAGCGGUGAAAUGCGUAGAUAUCAAGAGGAACACCUGCGGCGAAGGCGGGUUGCUGGGCCGACACUGACGCUGAGGCGCGAAAGCUAGGGGAGCGAACGGGAUUAGAUACCCCGGUAGUCCUAGCCUUAAACGAUGAAUGCUUGGUGUCUGGGGUUAUAU
rnacentral:rRNA from 1 species